AGUUACACCGUAUAGAAUUUUUUCAAAUGCAGUUUUUUUGUAAGUUUAUGAAACCACCUUUCCAGUCAUGUAUAGUUAUAUAUUGGCUUAUCGCUCGGUCAUGGUGAAAUUUGAGAUCAAAGAUUGCGAAUUCUAUAUAUAACAAAGAAGGAAAUUAAUUGGGCAUGUGUAACCUUUAAGAACUUCCGACCAAGUUAGUCGUCUUCCAGAAUGUUGACAAUUUACCAUCAAAAACUCUCUGUAUUGCAAAACAUAACUACCAGAUGUCAUUUUGACCCAAUUAAGGGCUGUUUGCAAUUGGGCUGUUGCACUUGGGGUCCUAAGGGGGGUAAAUGCUUGAAAAUCACUCCGAAACCUGUUCCGAAGACACAUUCUAAGACUACGUAAACACUCGGUAUUGUUUUUCAGUGACAUUUUGACAUUAAUUUGCAUCAAUCUCAAUAAUGAACCUAAUUCCUGUCUUUAUUUCAUCUGUAUUUAUUGCUAUUGUUUACUUUUAGCCUUUUACUAUUUAAAAUGUAAUGUGUGUUGUUUUUCCAUGCAAGCAAUUUUGGACCGACACUGCUAUCUGCCUUCGCUUUCAAUCCCGCCAGGCAGAUCUACUCAGAAUAACACUACUUUGCCUUAUUUUUCCUGUUUGGAUAUCUUGCUGAGUUCAAGUUAAAUCAAGUAUUCAGCUGAAAACACAAAAAGGAUAAUAAUAUUAUGCUUUCUUUCUUGGAACGAUGUUGUUGUGAUAGACCGUGCGUGAAAAACAGCAGGGAAUCUGUAUUUAAGUGACCUCAAUAUUAUACGUAAACCUAAAUGUACAUUUUUAGGUGGUGUCGGAAUUAGUCUAUAGCUCUGCCUGAACUGCUGUCCAAUUGGUUUACAAGUCCGGCUGAAGUGACAGGCCAUCAAAAACUGCACAGUAUGACUGAUUCGGAGACGGCCCUCAACACUCGCCCAGUCGUGUCGAGAGGAUCGGUGUCUUUGCAGAUUACACGGAAUUGAGCACCCGGGCCAGACUGACACUUUCCGGAGCCUGUCCGAGACGGAACUCGAGCCGAGGAAUCAUAGGUCCAGGUGUGACAGAAAACUUAAAGCUCAUGUCUGACGAUGACUUUUUUUGCGUCAGGAAGUAAAGUGGUGUCGGAAUUAGUCUAUAGCUCUGCCUGAACUGCUGUCCAAUUGGUUUACAAGUCCGGCUGAAGUGACAGGCCAUCAAAAACUGCACAGUAUGACUGAUUCGGAGACGGCCCUCAACACUCGCCCAGUCGUGUCGAGAGGAUCGGUGUCUUUGCAGAUUACACGGAAUUGAGCACCCGGGCCAGACUGACACUUUCCGGAGCCUGUCCGAGACGGAACUCGAGCCGAGGAAUCAUAGGUCCAGGUGUGACAGAAAACUUAAAGCUCAUGUCUGACGAUGACUUUUUUUGCGUCAGGAAGUAAAGUGUGUUGUUUUCCCAUGCAAGCAAGCCCUUUUGUUGGGUCAAAUGACAUCAGAAAUGCUGCUUCUAAAUGGAUUUUACCUAAAAUGUGCCAAAAAAUAUAUAAAAAGUUUGUUCGGAUCUUGUUCAAAACCUGCUAUGAUGCACAUAUAAUGCCAUUGAUGAUUUGUUUUCACUUAUUAAGUCAUAUGUUACAUCUGCUAUGCUAUUAGAAUCGAAAGUGAUGCCUUGUAUGGAGUCUAAGUGCUGUCUGUAUGAUGUAACCAAGGUCGGCUUUUCUACCUUAAUUCUUGACGCGAAACGCUGUUACGCGUGACGCUUUCAACGUCAACUUUAAUGAAUAAAUCUGUGUGUCAUGGUACUGGAACUUUGUGAUCUUUUUUAAAACAGAUUAUACCUAUGGAAAAAGUGCCUUUAAUUCAAAUUUGAAGGGGUUGGGUUCCCUUAUAGGUUACAUUAUCCUAAACGGAAGUGGAAUUUGGGGGGUUACAUGCAGUCGGUUUGCUACUUAGUACAUAUGAUGCAGGUCCUGGUGCAUAAGAUUUUAAAAAUGUAUCUGAAAUGAAGAGUUUAGGUGUCAGUUUAAAGGUACAUGUGUAAGUCACAGGGCAAAAGGCCUGAUUUGUGCAUUUCUUUGUAUGUUAGUGGUUGCCAGCCUCAAUAGUAGGGCAUGGUUUUUGCCUUCAAAUGGCAGUGCCGGUAGCUGUCAAAACCGGUUCAUAUGCUCUAAGGUGGUGUCGGAAUUAGUCUAUAGCUCUGCCUGAACUGCUGUCCAAUUGGUUUACAAGUCCGGCUGAAGUGACAGGCCAUCAAAAACUGCACAGUAUGACUGAUUCGGAGACGGCCCUCAACACUCGCCCAGUCGUGUCGAGAGGAUCGGUGUCUUUGCAGAUUACACGGAAUUGAGCACCCGGGCCAGACUGACACUUUCCGGAGCCUGUCCGAGACGGAACUCGAGCCGAGGAAUCAUAGGUCCAGGUGUGACAGAAAACUUAAAGCUCAUGUCUGACGAUGACUUUUUUUGCGUCAGGAAGUAAAGUGUGUUGUUUUCCCAUGCAAGCAAGCCCUUUUGUUGGGUCAAAUGACAUCAGAAAUGCUGCUUCUACAUGGAUUUUACCUAAAAUGUGCCAAAAAAUAUAUAAAAAGUUUGUUCGGAUCUUGUUCAAAACCUGCUAUGAUGCACAUAUAAUGCCAUUGAUGAUUUGUUUUCACUUAUUAAGUCAUAUGUUACAUCUGCUAUGCUAUUAGAAUCGAAAGUGAUGCCUUGUAUGGAGUCUAAGUGCUGUCUGUAUGAUGUAACCAAGGUCGGCUUUUCUACCUUAAUUCUUGACGCGAAACGCUGUUACGCGUGACGCUUUCAACGUCAACUUUAAUGAAUAAAUCUGUGUGUCAUGGUA